UACGUAGGGUGCAAGCGUUAAUCGGAAUUACUGGGCGUAAAGCGUGCGCAGGCGGUUUUGUAAGUCUGAUGUGAAAUCCCCGGGCUCAACCUGGGAAUUGCAUUGGAGACUGCAAGGCUAGAAUCUGGCAGAGGGGGGUAGAAUUCCACGUGUAGCAGUGAAAUGCGUAGAGAUGUGGAGGACACCGAUGGCGAAGGCAGCCCCCUGGGUCAA
rnacentral:rRNA from 1 species